rnacentral:misc_RNA from 1 species
GAAAAAGUGUAUGAUAGUUUGCAGCAUAAAUGUCUAAACCGACAGACCAAAAACAUUAGAAAUGAAAUUAGGAAAUCGCAUUCUUUGUUAAAUCUGUAUCCAUUUAAUUUGUCUGCAUAAAUUGCAAUAACAGACCUUUAUCUCAGAUGGGUUUUUCAAUGACAGCACCCUGCAUUUUUGUACCCAUUUUUCUCCAUCCACCCAUAAGGGAAAACAGAUGAAUCAUGUGCCAUAUACAUACAACAACAACAGCAACAAAGCCUUAAUCUCAAACAA